UACGGGGGGAGCAAGCGUUGUUCGGAUUUACUGGGCGUAAAGGGCGCGUAGGCGGUCGUGACAAGUCACUUGUGAAAUCUCCGGGCUUAACUCGGAACGGGCAAGUGAUACUGUCGGACUAGAGUACAGAAGGGGCAACUGGAAUUCUCGGUGUAGCGGUGAAAUGCGUAGAUAUCGAGAGGAACACCUGCGGCGAAGGCGGGUUGCUGGGCUGAUACUGACGCUGAGGCGCGAAAGCUAGGGGAGCGAACGGG
rnacentral:rRNA from 1 species